GACUCCAAGGCCAUCAUUUCCGCCUUCUCAAUUCUCAUCUAUCACCCACAGUUUUAUGUUAGUUCGCAACUCUGUCGUCUUUUGGCAUUGGAAAAUAUCGUGGGGAAAUAAUUCCUUUGAGUUGUCCCUGUGAGGUAUGCAUAAUUGUGUCCAACUAUCCAUGUCACAAUCAUAAUGUAACCUAUCAUUCAGUUAAGUCUGGAUUUUAAUUAUAGCAUGCCAAUAUUGGGUAUAAAUAUAGAGAUAUAGUAAAGAUCCAUUCGUGCAGGUAGAUAGCGUGGAAAUUACUUGUGCUCCCAGUAUCCUGUGAACCAUAAAUAUACGUGGUUAUGAUCCAUCAGGUAGUGUCAACACCAUGAUAAACAUGCCCCUUACAAGAUCUGUAGUAUGGGUCAACAUCUCAUAUGUUUAGAUGGACUACACAUAAUGAUUUGAUAAUUUACAGUUGUUAGGUGUCCCCCGCACUGACCAUCCAACUCGUUUUUUAACUGUGUGCUGCUCUGCAAGAGGCACAGUCCAAGCGAAAGGUGUGAUGCCCAUCCCGUUCUAACUACUAAAGCAAGCGGCGGUGCCGGUUUUUCGAUUUAUGGUCCAUAACUAUGAUAUUUUUUUUGCAAUUUACUCUCUUGACAACUUAGUAUGCUUUUGUUGUGUGCUUCGAUAAAGAACGGGAUGACAAUGAGUAAUGAGUUCAGGUCAUAACCAAGGAGGAGUACAAGUGAGCAUAGUAAAUCUCUACUAUUAAAGGAGAAUAUGUCGUUGUGAUGGUUCAACCUCCUUCAAUCCCCCACCACCACCAUCCUUCGUACGACAACCCACCUCCCCUCCCUACGACCGAGAAACCAUCCCACCUCCGUUUCCCUGUUCCACCUCGUAUUUUUUUUCUCGUUCCACCCAAGGCCGCCACAUCCCCUCGCAUGACCCCCUCCCCCUAAAACCGGUCUUUCUUCUCCCUCUUCCCACGUUCCUCGCCAUCGCAUCAACCCCGCGAAGCCUCAUCCCGAGAGAGCCACUCCUAAGUGCAACUCUCCCCCGGCGAUGCCUUUCCCCGACCUCUUACCAGUGGUUCUCAUGUGCCUCCUAUCCAUGCGUUCCCGCACCUCGUAGUCCCAUCGAUGCCUAGCAGGUGGUAAGAUUGACCAGGGGAAGCGUUGCUACAAAAGGUGGAUAAAUCACAAAAGACACAGAUCUGCAGAGGCGCGGGCUCGGUGGGGAGGCGACCUAUGACAACAUAGGAGGAGCUCGGGGCCUUGGAAGACGGGUCAUGCCCAACAUGUCGGCGUCAAGCGCACGGUGGCUGUGGAAGAGGGAGGGGUGGUGGCGGCCCUACUAGGCUAGAGGUGCCGACGGGGAGGUGGUUCACGGGGGGUUUUAAUCUGACAAGGUGUUUCAUGCUCUUCCUGCACUAUGGCAUGGUUACCACGGCACAUAGUCCUUGAAAUGAUAAAGUUACCACGUCUAUUGGAAGUUUUGUACCAGCAAACAGAACCGGAUGGUGUCAUAUGUUUAUAACGGUGAUACUUCAUCGCUAGGUAAGCCAUACACGCUAUUAUUUUUUUCAACAGUAGUUCAUGUGUGUCUAUUUUAUAUUUGAGCAUCAUGACUCCUUAGUGUAGUUCAUCAGUAUAUUUGUAUGUUUACUCACUCAUAGUGUUGGAGAUGAUUGUGAUUUGAUCAUCAUGGUUUACAGGAGAGUAUCACAAUGACCUAUAUUGAAUAAGGAUUUGAAUUUAUUAGUUUCAGUCAAGAAUCACAACAAACAUAUCUACAUCGAGGAUAAGAGUGUCACCGAGCCCUGGCUAGAAAUUAUCCUAAUUUGUGGCAUCUGUUGCAAUUUAUCUAGAAUUGUUUUUCAUGAAAAAGUUCCUAAUUAUGAGGUAAUCUUCAAGUGACCAGUGAGUUAACUAGCUAAUUCCAACAUUAUCUUUAUGUGAAGAAUGCAGAGUGUAUUGCUUUUCCUGUUGCGCCGUAGAGGAAAAAGAAAAAUAUGUAAAUAAUCUGUUUAAGUUUUGAGGGUCACCUGUUUUGUCAUUUUAUUCUAUUAUAGGGCAUCUUACCAGCUUAUCUUCUUGAAGUUAAAGACAGAAAUAGAUAGCAUAUUAUCAACUGUAGCACUUGGAUCAACUAUAUUAUAUCCAAACAGUUUUGUUUCAUGAGUGACCAUGCUACGGUCUGAAUUUUGCAGGGAAACUGAAGAAUUGUCAAAAGAUUUACGUUCACGUGCUCUCCUCAUAGUCGGAGCAAGGAACAAAGGAGUUUUUGGAUGAAGCAUUAGUAUUAUAUCCAACAUAAUCCAUCACAACUCCAUAUAUAAUUGUGUUGAGGAAGUCAAACUUUCCGUUUCAUUUGACAUGUAUGUAUAUGCACACGUUUAGAUUUAAGGUGCAUACUUUAUAGAUGCACGCGUUUAGAUUUAAGGUGCAUACUUUAUAGGACAAUAUUGUAUGUAUUUUUUAAUUAUCUCAAAGAAAUCAUUGGCAGUUUGUGCA